GACGAACGCUGGCGGCGUGCUUAACACAUGCAAGUCGAGCGGAAAGGCCACUUCGGUGGUACUCGAGCGGCGAACGGGUGAGUAACACGUGAGUAAUCUGCCCUUCACUUUGGGAUAACCCCCGGAAACGGGAGCUAAUACCGGAUACGACCUUCAACCGCAUGGUUUGUUGGUGGUAACUUUUUGGGUGGGGGAUGUGCUCGCGGCCUAUCAGCUUGUUGGUGGGGUAAUGGCCUACCAAGGCUUUGACGGGUAGCCGGCCUGAGAGGGUGACCGGCCACACUGGGACUGAGACACGGCCCAGACUCCUACGGGAGGCAGCAGUGGGGAAUAUUGGACAAUGGGCGGAAGCCUGAUCCAGCAACGCCGCGUGAGGGAUGACGGCCUUCGGGUUGUAAACCUCUUUCAGCACCGACGAAGCGCAAGUGACGGUAGGUGCAGAAGAAGGACCGGCCAACUACGUGCCAGCCGCCGCAGUAAAAC
rnacentral:rRNA from 1 species